rnacentral:lncRNA from 1 species
UGAAACAAUGUUCUCGUCUCAGCUGAAUUAAAGUACAUCCUCUUUGGCAUGAAGAUAAGUGGGGAAGAGACUUGUUCUUCCUUUGGGGAGAGACUAAGAUAAUAUGCAAUAUUCUUUCAUUUUUUUGGCUGGCUUCUCACCGAGUUGUUUGCAUCCUGCUGAAGUGUCCUGUAACUGAGAUGUAAAUAAUUCAGCUCCACCUUUAAGGGACCUUCUUUGACCAUCCAAAGGGCUCUGCAGAAAUAGUCCAUCACGUGCCCUGAUAUAUGGAGGAAGUGUUGAGCAAGAGUUGCAACUAGCCACAUGCCUUAGAGAACAGCAGCAGCACCAACGCGAGGGUGUCCAGCACGUCUCCCAGAGUCCGUGACAGGAAAGUCUAAGCCCUAAGAAACUUUGAGCGAAUUUUCAGGGAAGUCGUAUGUUUCCCCAGCCUGGCAGUAAGGACUGAGAAGUAUGGGGAUGUUCCUCUUGCCUGACCGGGAUGAUGGCUUUGGCGGAGGCGGAGAGGGACAGGUGAGACACGCCGGUGCUGCCACCCACUCUGCCGUGUUCAGGAUUCCCACAGAAGCACUCGGAGGGGCUGCAGGCGCGUAAGUCCGGGCAGCGUCGCUCCAUCCGGCCCCUGCCUCCCACCUGCCUCGGGCUGCCGCGGGGAGGCCCCGAGCCCGCUGGCCCUCCAGCAGCACCCUUUCCGUGUGGAUCCAGCCCUGGAGUAAAUCUAUCUGCCUCAGUUUCCAGUUAUAAACUAGGUAAGCCUCAUUCGUAUUCGUUCCUUGUUCCUGAAUCCCCCUUCUAUGUAUAAAUCAUAUAUCAACAGACAAAGUUAUUUAGAGAUGGGUUAAUGAGAUGUGCCCAGAAUGUUCCAAAACGCAGCCUCCAAACCUAUUGCUAAUUAGGCACUGGAGCCACUAAUCUAAUUUUAGCCAGUCACUGAAUUUAUUCCUGGCGGAAUAAAAUGCACUUUAAAUCUCA